UCAGUCAGAGACUCAGAGAAAGUGAAACUAACUUGAUCAACAACAAUAUGAACACCUGAAACCAUCAAACUCUUUAAACAACAGAAUAUUGAGUCGUUCAAAGACCCUUGUGAACACAUCUGAUACUCACAGGCUUUAAGAGGGAAAGAACAAUGGCAGAAUCUUCACUAACAGCAAGAAAAACCAGGAGACGGAGUAUCAACAGAUUGCCUCCAUUCUUUACAUUCAACCAGCUUCAUGAGGUGCAUCAUGGGAUUCUUCAUAAACAGUAUUGAAGGAGUUCACACUAAUCCUAAAUAAUGUCUCUUUCCAGCAAAGCCAUCCUCCAUUAGUUCACUGACUGAAGUGCUUCAGUGCUCUAUAUGUCUGGAUGUGUUCACUGAUCCAGUCAUGACUCCAUGUAGACACAACUUCUGCAAGACCUGUCUGAAUAAGUGCUGGGACAACAGCCAGACCUGCAGCUGUCCAUACUGUAAAGAAACAUUCAAGCAAAGAC